GUCUGAGACGAGGACUCCCGGGUCUGAAGGAAGAGGGAGCUGGGGGCAAUGGCUCCGAUGAGGAACCCUAUGGGCACCCGCUGAGCACCGGCUACCCGUAGCUCUCCGGCCGCUGGGGCCGGGUGUUCACAGUGCGGCUGGGCCCGCGCCCUGCGGUGGUGCUGUGCGGCUACGCAGCGCUGCGGGACGCGUUAGUGCUGCAGGCGGAUGCGGUCUCCGGCCGCGGGUCCAUGGCAGUCUUCGAACGCUUCACACGCGGAAACAGUGAGGCCCCGGCGCUGGACUUGCCGGCCCGGACGCUCCAGGCUGGGCGGGUAAAUAAAUGGUAGAGGUGGGCAAAUGGGGGCGGGGCCUAAUAGAGACUCCAGCUAAUGAGGUGCAAACGGCCGAGAGAGGGCGGGGCGGCGCUAAAGCGUAAGGUUAGAAUGGAGGUUCAUCCUGCAGCCAACAGGAGAGAAGAGCCUAAAAGUCAAAGCCCGAGAGCCAGCCUAGGUCAGGGAUCGAGCCCAGCAAAGGCGGGGCCAAUGUGUGGAUAGGGCACUUGGAGGUCUGGUAAAGAAGCAAAGCGAACAAAGCCGGCCGCAGGAGUCGGAGGCCCCUAAAAGGAUGUAGCCAGUGACCCGGCGCUUCCUGGAUAGGGCGUGGCCGGCUCCCGGGCCCGCCUCCUUUCCCGUCCCCACCACAGGAAUCUUGUUUUCUAACCGGCCGUGCUGGGUGGACACUGCGCAAUUUUGCACUUGGAGCGCUUAAGAAGUUCGGGUUGGGUACGCGGACCGUCGAGGCGCGCGUCCUGGAGGAGGCGGCUUGUCUGCUAGACGAAUUUCAAGCCACCAUUGCUUCGGCCUGGCCGGGAGAGCGGAAGGGCCUGGUGUGGGAGAGUCCCUUGCACUGCCAAGACGGGGCCACGGGAAGGUAUUUAGGUGGAAGAAAGCCAGUAAGCCCAUGGGGCUGGCUGGGGGCAGGACCACGCGUUAUGACCACCGUCCUGUUCCUACCCCCAGGAGCCCCGUUUGACCCCGUGCGGCUACUGGAUAAUGCUGUAUCCAAUGUUAUCUGUUCUUGUCUUCGGGAACCGCUAUCGCUACGGGGACCCGGAGUUCCUGAGGCUCCUGAACCUCUUCAGUGACAACUUCUGCAUCAUUAGUUCCAGAUGGGGCGAGAUGUACAUUUGCCCGUCUCUCACGGACUGGCUCCCGGGCCCGCACCACCGAAUCUUCCGAAACUUUUCGGAGCUGCGGGUCAUCUCUGAGCAAAUCCAACGACACUGGCAGAUGCGGCAGCCAGCGGAGCCCCGCGAUUUCAUUGAUUGCUUGACCAGAUGGGGCACUUUUGUGAUUCCCCUGCUUGUGACUGCGCACCGGGACCCCACUCAAUUCAAGGACCCAGACUGCUUCAACCCUACCAACUUCCUGGACAAGGGCAAGUUCCAGGGCAAUGAUGUUUUCAUGCCCUUUGCCUCAGGCGCAGGCAGAGGAGGAAGGGGACCAGCCUGGACUGGCUCUGGGGUGCCUGGUGCUCACUAUGCACCUGUGUACCCGGCAAAGCGGAUGUGCCUGGGCAUAGGCCUGGCCCACUCGGGUAUCUUCCUAUUCCUUACGGCCACUUUACAGAGGUUCUGCCUGCUCCGUGUGGUACACCCUGGCACCAUCAACCUCACCUGCAGUGCACUGUCCUGGGCAGUGUCCCCCCAGACUUCCAGCUCCAGCCAGUGGCCUGCUGAGGUCAGGCUCCACUAUGGUGGGCUCACUGGCCCUCAAACCUCCAUACCCUCCUCGGUCAAUAAAGGCCCUAAAUUGCAGAUGGAGUCAGAUGUGUGCAGCUCUGAGCAAGAGGCCAUGACUCACCUCAACCCCAAGUCCUGCAUCCUGGUGGGAAGUGACAAUGCCUCCUCCCAGCUCUCCACACCUAAUGGGGUCAUGACCAGACAGGGUAGGACCCAGGCCCCCAGCUUCAGUUGGUAA